GCCCAACUGCGCGCUAACC
rnacentral:snRNA from 1 species